ACGAACGCUGGCGGCACGCUUAACACAUGCAAGUCGAACGAGAGAAGAGGAGCUUGCUUUUCUGAUCUAGUGGCGGACGGGUGAGUAACACGUGAGCAAUCUGCCUUUCAGAGGGGGAUACCGAUUGGAAACGAUCGUUAAUACCGCAUAACAUAAUUGAACCGCAUGAUUUGAUUAUCAAAGAUUUAUCGCUGAAAGAUGAGCUCGCGUCUGAUUAGCUAGUUGGUAAGGUAACGGCUUACCAAGGCGACGAUCAGUAGCCGGACUGAGAGGUUGAUCGGCCACAUUGGGACUGAGACACGGCCCAGACUCCUACGGGAGGCAGCAGUGGGGAAUAUUGCACAAUGGAGGAAACUCUGAUGCAGCGAUGCCGCGUGAGGGAAGAAGGUUUUAGGAUUGUAAACCUCUGUCUUCAGGGACGAAAAAAGACGGUACCUGAGGAGGAAGCUCCGGCUAACUACGUGCCAGCAGCCGCGGUAAUACGUAGGGAGCGAGCGUUGUCCGGAAUUACUGGGUGUAAAGGGAGCGUAGGCGGGAUCGCAAGUCAGAUGUGAAAACUAUGGGCUUAACCCAUAAACUGCAUUUGAAACUGUGGUUCUUGAGUGAAGUAGAGGUAAGCGGAAUUCCUAGUGUAGCGGUGAAAUGCGUAGAUAUUAGGAGGAACAUCAGUGGCGAAGGCGGCUUACUGGGCUUUAACUGACGCUGAGGCUCGAAAGCGUGGGGAGCAAACAGGAUUAGAUACCCUGGUAGUCCACGCCGUAAACGAUGAUUACUAGGUGUGGGGGGACUGACCCCUUCCGUGCCGCAGCAAACGCAAUAAGUAAUCCACCUGGGGAGUACGACCGCAAGGUUGAAACUCAAAGGAAUCGACGGGGGCCCGCACAAGCAGUGGAGUAUGUGGAUUAAUUCGAAGCAACGCGAAGAACCUUACCAGGUCUUGACAUCGUAUGCAUAGCUCAGAGAUGAGUGAAAUCUCUUCGGAGACAUAUAGACAGGUGGUGCAUGGUUGUCGUCAGCUCGUGUCGUGAGAUGUUGGGUUAAGUCCCGCAACGAGCGCAACCCUUACUGUUAGUUGCUACGCAAGAGCACUCUAGCAGGACUGCCGUUGACAAAACGGAGGAAGGUGGGGAUGACGUCAAAUCAUCAUGCCCCUUAUGACCUGGGCCUCACACGUACUACAAUGGCUGUCAACAGAGGGAUGCAAAGCCGCGAGGUGGAGCGAACCCCUAAAAGCAGUCUUAGUUCGGAUUGUAGGCUGCAACCCGCCUACAUGAAGUCGGAAUUGCUAGUAAUCGCAGAUCAGCAUGCUGCGGUGAAUACGUUCCCGGGCCUUGUACACACCGCCCGUCACGCCAUGGGAGUCGGUAACACCCGAAGCCUGUAGUCUAACCGCAAGGAGGACGCAGUCGAAGGUGGGAUUGAUGACUGGGGUG
rnacentral:rRNA from 1 species